GAAAAAAGAGUGUUCCACACUCGCCGCCUGGGCUGCGAUUGGCGCUGACUAACACUCCUAGGUUUAAAUGAACAUAUAUACCCCAUAAAGUGGACGGGAGGAUGACCGCCGCCGUAGCUCAGUGGUAGAGCAUCGGACGCGUUAUUCGAAGGUCGCAGGUUCGGUCCCUGCCGGCGGCAAGUUAUCUUUUCGUCCACUUUACUUUCUUCAAAUUCAUAUUCUAAAUACCACAGAUAACACCCCCUAUACUUUCCUUGGCAUUAUUGUCUGUUAAUUCUCAUUAAUAUUGUGUCUAACAAACAAAAACGAGCCCUUAAGAGUCUCCUCCUUUCCUUCAUUCAUAGCGAGGGUCUCGUUCUGGCAGACUUGAUGCCUUCAGGUAGUAUGCGAGGGAUUAUUGGUCAGCUUCCAGCUCGUAAAAAGAUCACGUGCUACGUGACGCCAGGCAGAAAAAAGAGUGUUCCACACUCGCCGCCUGGGCUGCGAUUGGCGCUGACUAACACUCCUAGGUUUAAAUGAACAUAUAUACCCCAUAAAGUGGACGGGAGGAUGACCGCCGCCGUAGCUCAGUGGUAGAGCAUCGGACGCGUUAUUCGAAGGUCGCAGGUUCGGUCCCUGCCGGCGGCAAGUUAUCUUUCCGUCCACUUUACUUUCUUCAAAUUCAUAUUCUAAAUACCACAGAUAACACCCCCUAUACUUUCCUUGGCAUUAUUGUCUGUUAAUUCUCAUUAGUAUUGUGUCUAACAAACAAAAAACGAGCCCUUAAGAGUCUCCUCCUUUCCUUCAUUCAUAGCGAGGGUCCCGUUCUGGCAGACUUGAUGCCUUCAGGUAGUAUGCGAGGGAUUAUUGGUCAGCUUCCAGCUCGUAAAAAGGUCACGUGCUACGUGACGCCAGGCAGAAAAAAGAGUGUUCCACACUCGCCGCCUGGGCUGCGAUUGGCGCUGACUAACACUCCUAGGUUUAAAUGAACAUAUAUACCCCAUAAAGUGGACGGGAGGAUGACCGCCGCCGUAGCUCAGUGGUAGAGCAUCGGACGCGUUAUUCGAAGGUCGCAGGUUCGGUCCCUGCCGGCGGCAAGUUAUCUUUUCGUCCACUUUACUUUCUUCAAAUUCAUAUUCUAAAUACCACAGAUAACACCCCCUAUACUUUCCUUGGCAUUAUUGUCUGUUAAUUCUCAUUAGUAUUGUGUCUAACAAACAAAAAACGAGCCCUUAAGAGUCUCCUCCUUUCCUUCAUUCAUAGCGAGGGUCUCGUUCUGGCAGACUUGAUGCCUUCAGGUAGUAUGCGAGGGAUUAUUGGUCAGCUUCCAGCUCGUAAAAA